rnacentral:rRNA from 1 species
GUUAGGAAUAUUGGACAAUGGGCGCAAGCCUGAUCCAGCCAUGCCGCGUGAACGAUGAAGGCCUUCGGGUUGUAAAGUUCUUUAGCCGAUGAUUAUAAUGACUGUAGUCGGAAAAUAAGCCCCGGCUAACUUCGUGCCAGCAGCCGCGGUAAUACGAAGGGGGCGAGCGUUAUUCGGAAUCACUGGGCGUAAAGCGUGCGUAGGCGGUCUCGUAAGUUAGGAGUGAAAGCCCAGGGCUCAACCUUGGAAUUGCUCUUAAUACUGCAAGGCUAGAAUCUCGGAGAGGAUAGCGGAAUUUCCAGUGUAGCAGUGAAAUGCGUAGAUAUUGGAAGGAACACCAGUGGCGUAAGCGGCUAUCUGGACGAGUAUUGACGCUGAGGCACGAAAGCGUGGGGAUCAAACAGGAUUAGAAACCCCGGUAGUCC